GGGGAAUAUUGUACAAUGGGGGAAACCCUGAUGCAGCGACGCCGCGUGGAGGAAGAAGGUCUUCGGAUUGUAAACUCCUGUUGUUGGGGAAGAUAAUGACGGUACCCAACAAGGAAGUGACGGCUAACUACGUGCCAGCAGCCGCGGUAAAACGUAGGUCACAAGCGUUGUCCGGAAUUACUGGGUGUAAAGGGAGCGCAGGCGGGAAGACAAGUUGGAAGUGAAAUCUAUGGGCUCAACCCAUAAACUGCUUUCAAAACUGUUUUUCUUGAGUAGUGCAGAGGUAGGCGGAAUUCCCGGUGUAGCGGUGGAAUGCGUAGAUAUCGGGAGGAACACCAGUGGCGAAGGCGGCCUACUGGGCACCAACUGACGCUGAGGCUCGAAAGUGUGGGUAGCAAACAGGAUUAGAUACCCUGGUAGUCCACACCGUAAACGAUGAUUACUAGGUGUUGGAGGAUUGACCCCUUCAGUGCCGCAGUUAACACAAUAAGUAAUCCACCUGGGGAGUACGACCGCAAGGUUGAAACUCAAAGGAAUUGACGGGGGCCCGCACAAGCAGUGGAGUAUGUGGUUUAAUUCGACGCAACGCGAAGAACCUUACCAAGUCUUGACAUCCCUUGACAGACAUAGAAAUAUGUUUUCUCUUCGGAGCAAGGAGACAGGUGGUGCAUGGUUGUCGUCAGCUCGUGUCGUGAGAUGUUGGGUUAAGUCCCGCAACGAGCGCAACCCUUAUGGUCAGUUACUACGCAAGAGGACUCUGGCCAGACUGCCGUUGACAAAACGGAGGAAGGUGGGGAUGACGUCAAAUCAUCAUGCCCUUUAUGACUUGGGCUACACACGUACUACAAUGGCGUUAAACAAAGAGAAGCAAGACCGCGAGGUGGAGCAAAACUCAGAAACAACGUCCCAGUUCGGACUGCAGGCUGCAACUCGCCUGCACGAAGUCGGAAUUGCUAGUAAUCGUGGAUCAGCAUGCCACGGUGAAUACGUUCCCG
rnacentral:rRNA from 1 species